rnacentral:rRNA from 1 species
UGCGGAGGAAAAGAAACCAACCGGGAUUGCCUUAGUAACGGCGAGUGAAGCGGCAAAAGCUCAAAUUUGAAAUCUGGUACCUUCGGUGCCCGAGUUGUAAUUUGGAGAGGGCAACUUUGGGGCCGUUCCUUGUCUAUGUUCCUUGGAACAGGACGUCAUAGAGGGUGAGAAUCCCGUGUGGCGAGGAGUGCGGUUCUUUGUAAAGUGCCUUCGAAGAGUCGAGUUGUUUGGGAAUGCAGCUCUAAGUGGGUGGUAAAUUCCAUCUAAAGCUAAAUAUUGGCGAGAGACCGAUAGCGAACAAGUACAGUGAUGGAAAGAUGAAAAGAACUUUGAAAAGAGAGUGAAAAAGUACGUGAAAUUGUUGAAAGGGAAGGGCAUUUGAUCAGACAUGGUGUUUUGUGCCCUCUGCUCCUUGUGGGUAGGGGAAUCUCGCAUUUCACUGGGCCAGCAUCAGUUUUGGUGGCAGGAUAAAUCCAUAGGAAUGUAGCUUGCCUCGGUAAGUAUUAUAGCCUGUGGGAAUACUGCCAGCUGGGACUGAGGACUGCGACGUAAGUCAAGGAU